rnacentral:rRNA from 1 species
GACGAACGCUGGCGGCGCGCUUAACACAUGCCAGUCGAACGGAAAGGCCUGCUUUCCCUUGUGGAUUGCGGGUACUCGAGUGGCGAACGGGUGAGUAACACGUGAGUGAUCUGCCCCCAACUUGGGUAUAAGCCUGGGAAACUGGGUCUAAUUCCCGAUAGGACUGCAGGGUGGUGCCUGUGGUGGAAAACGAUUUUCUAGUGGUUGGGGAUGAGCUCGCGGCCUAUCAGCUUGUUGGUGGGGUAAUGGCCUACCAAGGCGGCGACGGGUAGCCGGCCUGAGAGGGUGGACGGCCACAUUGGGACUGAGAUACGGCCCAGACUCCUACGGGAGGCAGCAGUGGGGAAUAUUGCACAAUGGGCGGAAGCCUGAUGCAGCGACGCCGCGUGGGGGAUGACGGCCUUCGGGUUGUAAACUCCUUUCGACCGCGAGGAAGCCACCUGGUUGGAAGGGUGGUGACGGUAGUGGUAGAAGAAGCACCGGCUAGCUACG